UCAGUGGAGUGGAGACCGGCGAUGUAGCGGACGUGCGGCUAAUCGGUCCCGCGUCGACGCAUUUUUUCGCUGUAAGUACAGUCGCAGAAAGCUCGACUUCGACACACGCGUGACAAGGAUUCGCCGCAAUAAGCGUAUUUCACGAGAGAUGGGUAAAUUCGCGAAAAUCUGUCGCGCGCAUUACGCAGCAAUUCGUCCAACGAGCCGGCGGCGGCGCGGCGACAUGGCGGCGGCGCAACGGCUACUCGCUACGCAUUUCGGGUAAGCGGCCGGCCGGCACGGACUGCGCAGCGCGUGCUCCGGUCUCGUCGUGUGUAUCUGGACACAUACAGUUCGAAUCACAGUUCGCCUGUGCAACGUGGAACGAAAUGAGUUGUGUACGAUUGUUUCGAGACGUGUGUUUGUUGACUUUACCGUGUGACGGGCGACGCGAGUGAAGGAAUGUUUCGCACGACUCGUACGUCUCACCCUUCGCGGACCAUCGUCAAUGUUGAGUAGAUUUGCCUCGUAUGUAUGUACAUAAAUCUGGGUUCUAGUCUGUAACAAUGGAUGCGUUUACUUUGGACGCUCACGCGCUGUAAACAUCAUUUCAUCCUUGUUUAUGAUUAUUAAACGAGGACAAAUAAUGUUUACAAGCGUUGUGAGAAAAUGAACGCAGCCAAUAUGUACAGUAAAAUGCUCCGACGGAACGGCGAUCUACUUUUUCUUUUUCUCUCUCUCUCUCUCUCUCUUUCGUGCGUGUAGCGUGAAUUUGGCGAGCGAGCCUCUCUCGCUGCGAUUCUCUCUCGUCGUUAACUUCAUGCUGUUCGUACGCGUACUUCUUUGCGUGACGUCAUCGUCAAUAAUGUGAGUGGAGUUUUCUUUGCACGUACAUUCGAAUUUUCGUGAGUAAUCUGCAAUAAACGUUCGAACGAGACAGUGAGAUCGCUCGGAAACGCGCGUGUUGUUACGGGACGGCGUGAAAAUCGAGAUUAAUUUACCCUGCGCAAAUUACUGCUAGCUCCGUCUAGCCAAUGCAUCGUGUGCUGUUAUCGAUGUCGAGCGAGUUCUGUUUGUACAUACGUGUGGCUACAAGUUGUGAUUUAAUAAAGCUCGCUUCGAUUAACGCCGAUAGUUCCGUCAAUAAAGCGUUGCGUGUUGCUGAGAGAAUUAGUGCGCGAUCGUAAUUAAUCUUUUUUUUGCGAGUGUUGUGUUGUGUAUUUAUCAAAUCUGAGAGGAGGCGGAGGCUCGGGGGAAGCAUCGGGCAACGGCGGAACAACCCUGUGGAUUAAUGUAGCUGUGUUACAACUCGGCUGCUGCGCGACGGUCCGGUGAGUCAUAAAAUUUCCUCAAUUUAAAAAUAAUGAAUUCGUAAAAUUGAAUUUUUGUAUGCAUAAAAUAGAAAAGGGAAACUCUGAAACGAAUCAAAUUUUAAUAUCAUUUAAAUAUAUCAAGUCGCUGAAUUAGGUGCUCGUUUCGUUUGGCAAGUGUACUCGAACUUAAACAUCGGUCGCGCAGUUGGCUGACAAGAGAAAAAUCAUCUUUGAAAUCGAAUACUAGAGUUUUGCAGAAAAAAGUCUACAUAUAUAUGAGUUUUAUAUCCCUUUUUUAUAUAUAAGUAAAAUACAAUAUACAUUUUUGCAUGUGUUGAGCUUUCUUUUGUGUCAUACAUUUUUGUUGACAUUUUGUUUUUUCGCUGAUGAUAUGCCUGGUAGUACGCAGUUUCAUUUGGACAACACAAUAAUUCGCAUAUAAGAAAACCACUUUAUGAACGAUCAUAAUAUAAAUAUGAUAUAUUUAUACACAUAUAAUAUCAAAUAUUAUCGUCAAAAAUUCCUUAUACGUUGCAUUAUACACAUACAUUAAUCGAUAAUUGUUUUUUUUUUAUGAUUAUAAUUUAAAUU